GAAAGAAGGUUCCGAUCAACGACAAAGUCCAAAAAAUCAAGGAAAGUUAUGACAAAACUCUUGCUCAAUGUGAAGAAAGAGGUGAAACCAAGGCCCCGAACCAGAUUUUCUUUGAGACUGUUGGUGGCAGAAAGAAAGGGUGGGUUCCUGGUUUGGGGACGAGUGCAGACCUCUAUUUUGAGAGGUCUUCGAGGGGAGGAGGUAGUUCGUCCUCCAGUUGCACUCCUUCCAUGUAUUCUCAGUUGUCUGCGAAGUUUGAGGAAGAGAGAGCCGAGAUGCAAAGAGAACGUGAGCGGAUGCAGAAGGUGAUAGAAGAGGAACGCAUCGCCAGGCAAAAGGAGAGAGAGGAGGAUCGCAGGGUGUAUGAUGAGUACCUGACGCAGAUGAGGGCCACUAUGGAGACAUACAGCCAGAUGAUGAGCCAGUGUGGUGGUUCAUUCCCCCUCCCGGGCCUCGAGACCCCCCACCGGCGGUGGUGAUGCGUGUGCGACUUAGGAUCCUACAUUAGCUUGCACUAUCUAUCUUGUUUAUAUUUCGGAACGUGAAAACAUAUAAUUUAGUUAAAACCGUUAACUUAUUUUUAUGUAUGUAUGAAUUUAUAUUAGUGUAUUUAUGAAUUAUAUUUAAUGCAAACAGGUCAUUAGUGCAGAAUUUGGCGCAUUAGCGGACAGCUUGAGUAUAUAUUUGAUUGGAAAACGAAACAGGUUAAAAACUAUUAAAUUACAAUUAUUUAAAAAAAAAAAAAAAGGAAUUAGCGUCCGCCAUUUGGAGAUU